rnacentral:rRNA from 1 species
CCCUUAGAUGCUCUGGGCCGCACGCGCGCUACACUGGUCGAUGCAACGAGUUUCUUUCCUUGGCCGACAGGCCUGGGCAAUCUUUGAACAUCGAUCGUGAUCGGGAUAGAUUCUUGUAAUUUUUGAUCUUAAACGAGGAAUUCCUAGUAAACGCAAGUCAUCAGCUUGCAUUGAUUACGUCCCUGCCCUUUGUACACACCGCCCGUCGCACCUACCGAUUGAAUGGUCCGGUGAAAUCUCCGGACUGGCGUGAGUCGGAGCAAUCUGACAAACACCGGAAAGUUGAUUAAACCUGACCAUUGAGAGGAAGGUGAAGUCGUAACA